AGCGAACGCUGGCGGCAGGCUUAACACAUGCAAGUCGAACGAAGCCUUCGGGCUUAGUGGCGGACGGGUGAGUAACACGUGGGAACGUACCUUUUGGUUCGGAACAACACAGGGAAACUUGUGCUAAUACCGAAUGAGCCCUUAGGGGGAAAGAUUUAUCGCCAUUAGAGCGGCCCGCGUUGGAUUAGCUAGUUGGUGGGGUAAAGGCCCACCAAGGCUACGAUCCAUAGCUGGUCUGAGAGGAUGAUCAGCCACACUGGGACUGAGACACGGCCCAGACUCCUACGGGAGGCAGCAGUGGAGAAUCUUGCGCAAUGGGCGAAAGCCUGACGCAGCAACGCCGCGUGGAGGAUGAAGGCCCUCGGGUCGUAAACUCCUUUUGCGAGGGAAGAAGAUCUGACGGUACCUCGCGAAUAAGCCACGGCUAACUACGUGCCAGCAGCCGCCGUAA
rnacentral:rRNA from 1 species